AAAGUUAUUGAAUUCUAGUAUUACUAAAAUUUAAUUAACAUGUAAUUAACACACAAUUAACAUGAAAUGGGCCCUGAUGACUUGUUAGGGCAAAGCCCAAUGGUAGGGGGUGUAUGUGGAUUAGUGAAGUGCAGGCUCCAAGAGGGAAAUGAACGGGCCUAGAGGCCCAUAGUCCACGCGUGAUACUCUGGAGAGGGAUAACGAUACCAAGUACCCUCACACACGUAAAGUUCAUCACACUGACGGCGGAAUCGACGACGAACGGCGGUGGAAAUGGCGGCGCAAGGACGACACAGCGAGUCCCAAAUCUCAGUGCUGAAACGACAUCGAUAUCUCCGUCUCUGGACGUGCAAAGCUUGACCUUCUCCAAAUCGUGGCGCAUCAAGCGAAGCAUCACCAAUUCGCAACUCAAAACCAUCGUCGAACCUACCUCCUUGCUUCACCAGUUUAAACAGCAAAAUCUAAAUGUUGAGGUUGAAACGAAAAACUCAAAAAACAGGUAUCGCAUAUUUCCGCUCUGAUUUUCGCUCGAUCCUUCUUCCUGAGCUCUUCUGAGAAGGCUUUGCAUUGUUGUUGUUCGAUGCGUUCUUUUGGUAUUGAAUCAAGAUGAAGCACGUCACAUCGAGCUGCCAAAUCGUGAUGAUUAACGAAUCAAGAUGACGAUGACGAGUUUGAUUUCGUGGAGGAUCGAAUGAACUCGUUUCCGACUCAAGGUUCCGGCUCAGAAUCGGAAGUCGAAUUCAAAGCGUUAUUUUUACGAGUGAAACAGAAGCUAUUGGAGAAUGAAGAAUGUACCAUAUUCGAUGCCAAUUCCAGGCUAUGGAGGAUGGCAAUCAAAGAUGUUGAUGAGAGAGUGGCAGGUUGUGGAUCUCCCUCGGUUUUGGUUUCUGUUAUGCAAAGUUUGUUGAAGGAUUGAUUGGAGAGUGGUGAAGGUGGAUCUCUCUCGAUUUUCAUAGGCUAUGGAAAUUGCGAUUUCAAUUUCGUCCGCUUGAAGUUAUCCGGAUUCACUGAGUGAAAUAAGCAUGGAUUUGAAUAUGGAGUAGAAUAAUGAGAGAAUGUGUGUUGAUGUGGAUUCGUUUGUGUGCUCGCCUUAGAAUCUUGAUUUGAGAAGGUGAGAAGAAGAGAGUGUGUGGAGACGUCGAACAAGCUUGCUGAAGUGUUAUUGGUUGCACGAUUCGACCUGGAUUUGGUAUGGAUGCAUAGACCAAAACCUGAACUCAGUUUUUGAACCGCUUGCUUAGUUUUCUUUUUUCAUGUGAUUAAUCGUAAUCAAUAGAAAUAAUUAUGAUUAAUAGGUUAAUUGUGACUAAAUCCUUUGGUCAACCAAAUCCAUUGUAUUGUGAUGUAAUUCCCCAAGCCUAAUCAAGUGAUCAAAAGACCAUUGAUCACUUGACAGGGAAAGUCCAUUAUGCUCAAGCUGUAUGGGAUAUGCUGAAUCUCUAGAGUUUAAGACCUCAAGGUUCAAAGUCAACAUCAAUCAAGCAUAGCUGACAAAGUGGACUACUUCUCAAGCACAACAAAGGUCAUCACUUGUCAAUCAUAAUUCAGAUUGUGUGGCACGAGCCUUAAGAAAUAGAGAAUGAAUGAGAUUGGAAAAUUCCAUUAAAUCAUUAUGAAUAUCUUUGGUAUGGGACGAAUGACCUAGGUUCCCAUUGUAUUCACCUCUAUACAUAUACUUUAGCACAAUUCAAAUUAUAUGAUUGUAAAGUCUUCUUCUACAUCAAGAUCAACACUCAGGAUCUCUUAUGAGCAUGGAAACCAAGGAAAAGUGAUAUUUGGUCUCAAAAAGAUGGUAUUGAUUGAUGAAUGAAGAAUGAUUGAUUAAUAAAUAGGGUAGCUCGCGAAGAAUCUGAAUUCUCCUGCCUACGUAUCCUUAUAGUGCAAUAAGGAAAUCAUAACUUUCGUAGUUCAGCCUACUAGGGUGAAAACAAGGUGAUUGGUGGGGCAAAAGAAAUGAAUGAUUGAAAUGAAGGAAGGAUUAAUAAAUAAGGUAACUUACGAAGAAUUUGAAUUCUCCUGCCUACGUAUCCUUAUAGUGCAAUAAGGAAAUUAGAGCUUUCGUAGUUCAGCCCACUAUGGUUGAAAGCAAAAAUGAUUAAGGAGGCAAGAGGAGAUAAUAGAAUGAUUGGAUGAAAGAGCGGAAUAGACCUGAUAGUUAUUGGAUAAGAACCACACUAAAGUCUAUGAGUAAAGGUGGAUACGAUAAGCAACGGGACAAACGUCCCGCACCCAAAGAUAUCCAGAAUGAGUGUAGGAAAGCUCCAGUCUCAUUCCUUCUUUACUACUUAAGGCUCGUGGCAUGUAAUUCUCACCUUAACUUUCAAGUUGCUAGAGAAGAAUCUUUGUUGUUGUUUCUUGUAAUGAUGAAGUGAGAGGGACUUGACAGUUGAUUGAUGAGAAUCACACUAAAGUCUAUGAAUAAGGGCGAAUGCUUUGAAUAGAUAUGGCCUAUGUACCGUAUGCAAAGUCACUCUAAACAAGGAUAGGAGAACCUCUGUCUCAGCAUUCCUUUUUACUUAAGGCUCAUGGCGCAUGAUACUUCUCAUAAAUGACAAGUUAUUGGAGAAGGAUCUUCAUUGUUGCUCCUUGUGUUAAUACUGUUUUCUGUGAAGAAAACUUGGUAGUUUAUUCGAUUAUUAUUGCAUUAAAGUAUAUGAAUAAUGGAAAAUGCUUUGAAUAGCUAGGGCCUAUGCCCCGUACGCAAAGUCUCUUUAGAAAAGGAUAAAAGAAACUCUGUCUCAUCAUUCUCUAUUACUUAAGGCUCGUAUCGUACAAUUUGAAUCGAAUUCAUCAAGUGUUAACCUUUGAUUUAUCUUGUAUAACCCGCUGCUUGAUGUGACUGAGGAUGCCUUGAUUGAAGAUCUGUUUUGAAGUCUCGAGCUCCACAGCUUACAGAAAAAAGUCUUAGUAAGUGACCAAGGUUCUUUUGGUGACUCAAUCUAGAUUAUGGGUUAUACAAGUUCAAAGGAUUUAAUCGAUCAAAAUUACUUAGGGUUGAUUUGAAUCGGAGAGUUUUGAAUUGAUUUAAGAAACUAUGUUAAUCCUAAUCUAAAGGCUAUAAUUGAGUUAAACUAUCCUAAAGGAUCAUAUUAAUAUGUGGUUCAAACUUGAUUAAAAUUCUAUGUACAAAUACUAAGGGAACAUGCAAUUGUAUGGUUUACAAUAGUAAAAUAAACCCUUAAGGGGACAAACGGGUAUUUCACAAAGGUAUUGAAAUUGAAUUAAAUUCUACUUAUGAAAAUCAAUUAAAAUCACUUAAAUCCUAAACAAUUCUAAUUUUAGAAAUUAAUCUAAAUUCUAAUUGAACCUAAUUAAUUCUAAUCAAAACUAAUUCUACAUUCUAAUUAAAAAUUAAACUAAUUCCAAAUUCUAAGUCCCCUAACUUCUAUGAAAAAUUUCUAAAGCCUAAUUAAUCAAAAUUUAUAAUUCCCUAAUUACUAAACCCUAAUCCUAAUUAUUGAUCCUAACUUCUAAUUAAUAAUGGCUAAAAAACCCUAAUUGCAUACUAAACCCAAUCACAAACCAGAAUUGGGCUGAACAGAAACGGAGAGGAGAUUUGGCCCAUUCUGGGGAUGCUGGGAAGAAAGUCUAGGGGCCCAUAAGCCCAAAUCCGUUCGGUGAUAGAGGUUCCAAAAAAGAAGAAAAAAAUGUUUCGGGUUUAGGCCCAAACCCUAAACGACUACGCCCGGCCUUCAUGAUGCCUCACAAAACUCAUGGCCACGAGAACAAGUUAGAAAUCAUGAACUUAGUUAGAACCUCUUGUUAUAGUUAGUGAAUUGCUAUGUUAAUUUCAAUUUAGUUAAUUGCAAGUUGUUGGUUUCUGUUAAAAGAAAACAAUUAGGAUAGUUAUGAAAUUGUGAUGUUAAUCAUUUUCAGCAUUUUAAUUUAUUAUAAAUUGUUAGCAACAGUUCGUUUAACAUAACCAAGUAGAUGAAAAAAAAUGGUAUUGCUUCACUUGGUUCUUUGUUAACUUAUGGUAUAUUAAUUGUUGUUUGAAGUGCAGUUAGUUGAUUGGAGAACUUUUGGAGGCGGGACUGCCGCUUUGAUCAUGUUGUUGAUGUUGGUCAUUGGCUAAAAGUCGAGUUUUGAAACUAAUUUGCCAUUGGCUGCAACUAUUAUUAGUUAUCUGCUGUACUACUGGUCUGUUGUCCUAUGAUUGUUAUUCCAUUAGGUCAGUUAGUGGUAAUCAACCUUGCCUUAGCUUGUGAAACACCUGUCACCAAAAUUCUAAUAUGCAAUAGCUAGCCUAAAUUGAACUGUUAUGGAUAUUUUGCAGUUGAAUCAGCAUACUAUACUGCAGGUCAUUGUGCAUCAAUGGAAAUGAUUGGUUUUGCAGGUGUGGAUGUUCUGAAUCUGCAGCAAGGCAAUGUUGUACAUCUCCAAUCUGCCUCAGUUCAAACUCUGCUUAGCUUGUUAUGAAUUCUGCUAUCAGUUAGGAAGAGAGUUUGGUUGAUAUGCAACUGUAUUGGGACAACUUAAUGUUUUUCUAUUAAAAAUUAGUUAAGUUCUGUUAGGAAACUGUUAGUUGGAAACUUUGAUGAACUGAAGUGAAAUUCUCAUUUUUGGUUUUUUGAUGAUUUUAUCAAGCGAUGUUAGUUGGAAUGACCAUCCUUAAUUUUUAAGUUCUUUUCCUUUUGAUGGGGGUUUCCAAUUUGGCAUGAAUAUGGGAACUGGUGACAUGGUCGAAACGAUUUGGAUUGAUUUAUGGUAUGCUAGAUGUAUGACUUUGGUGUCUUGAAUGUGCACAUCAAAAAGAAUUCAUGGCUUUCUUAUGUUUCCUUUGUUUUGUAGGCAUUGAAUUGUGUUGGACAUGUUGAUCAUGUGGAAUUGGAUGCAAGGCCAUGAAGUGUAGAUUGGAAAAGCUUCCUUAGACAUGUCAUUAUUGUAAUCCUUGUUGUAACAUGAAAUGAAAUAUGUGAAUUGAAAAUGGAUGUAAUUGGACAUGAAAAUGUAUGUUGAAAAUGAGUUUGGAAAUAUAUUAUUAAAUAUUAUGAAA